rnacentral:rRNA from 1 species
ACAGCAGCCGCCGCGGUAAUACGUAGGGUGCAAGCGUUAAUCGGAAUUACUGGGCGUAAAGCGUGCGCAGGCGGUUCGUUAAGACAGAUGUGAAAUCCCCGGGCUUAACCUGGGAACUGCAUUUGUGACUGGCGGGCUAGAGUAUGGCAGAGGGGGGUAGAAUUCCACGUGUAGCAGUGAAAUGCGUAGAGACGUGGAGGAAUACCGAUGGCGAAGGCAGCCCCCUGGGCCAAUACUGACGCUCAUGCACGAAAGCGUGGGGAGCAAACAGGAUUAGAUACCCCUGUAGUCCCUGUCUCUUAUAC